UUUCUUAAAGUAAUAAUUACAUUUAAUUUCGACUUAAAAUCUUGUUUUAAUAAAAACUAAGAAAA
rnacentral:tRNA from 1 species